AUGCAGGACACCGGCUCAGUAGUGCCUCUGCAUUGGUUUGGCUUUGGCUACGCAGCGCUGGUUGCUUCUCGUGGGAUCACGGGCUAUGUAAAAGCAGGCAGCGUGCCGUCCCUGGCUGCGGGGCUGUUCUUCGGCAGCCUAGCCGGCCUGGGUGCUUACCAGCUGUCUCAGGAUCGAAGGAACGUUUGGGUUUUCCUAGCUACAUCUGGUACCUUGGCUGGCAUUAUGGGAAUGAGAUUCUACCACUCUGGAAAAUUCAUGCCUGCGGGUUUAAUUGCAGGUGCCAGUUUGCUGAUGGCCGCCAAAGUUGGAGUUAGUAUGUUCAACAGACCCCAUUAGCAAAAGUCAUGUUCCAGCUUGCACUGACGAAGAAUUAA